CAAUGGAGGAAACUCUGAUGCCGCGAUGCCGCGUGAGUGAAGAAGGCCUUUGGGUUGUAAAGCUCUUUCGUCGGGGAAGAAAAUGACUGUACCCGAAUAAGAAGGUCCGGCUAACUUCGUGCCAGCAGCCGCGGUAAUACGAAGGGACCUAGCGUAGUUCGGAAUUACUGGGCUUAAAGAGUUCGUAGGUGGUUGAAAAAGUUGGUGGUGAAAUCCCAGAGCUUAACUCUGGAACUGCCAUCAAAACUUUUCAGCUAGAGUAUGAUAGAGGAAAGCAGAAUUUCUAGUGUAGAGGUGAAAUUCGUAGAUAUUAGAAAGAAUACCAAUUGCGAAGGCAGCUUUCUGGAUCAUUACUGACACUGAGGAACGAAAGCAUGGGUAGCGAAGAGGAUUAGAUACCCUCGUAGUCCAUGCCGUAAACGAUGUGUGUUAGACGUUGGAAAUUUAUUUUCAGUGUCGCAGCGAAAGCGAUAAACACACCGCCUGGGGAGUACGACCGCAAGGUUAAAACUCAAAUGAAUUGACGGGGACCCGCACAAGUAGUGGAGCAUGUGGUUUAAUUCGAAGAUACGCGCAGAACCUUACCAAC
rnacentral:rRNA from 1 species